rnacentral:lncRNA from 1 species
CUCUCCCUUUUCUCCCUACACACAUAUAGUAGAAUUCAGAGAAGUUAAAUGGACCUAGAGGUGAUUCCAUGGCACAGUCACUGGCAAAGAAGUGACCUAUCAAUCACUUAUUGAGUGAAUUAUGAAAUCUGUGGUUCAGAAGUGGUAAGGGUGAAAUAGAGGAGGAAGAUUAUCUGAUAACAGUACUUGCCUAACACUGUUAAGAUUUAAAAAAUAAACCUGAUGUCUAAUA